UACGAGGGAUCCUAGCGUUGUUCGGAAUUACUGGGCGUAAAGGGCGAGUAGGUGGCCAUCUAAGUCAGACGUGAAAUCCCCCCGGCUUAACCUGGGAACUGCGUCUGAUACUGGACGGCUUGAGUAUGGGAGAGGGAUGUAGAAUUCCAGGUGUAGCGGUGAAAUGCGCAGAUAUCAGGAAGAACACCAAUGGCGAAAGCAGCUUUCUGGGACGGUACUGACGCUGAGACGCGAAAGCGUGGGGAGCAAACAGG
rnacentral:rRNA from 1 species